rnacentral:rRNA from 1 species
CCUACGGGGGGCAGCAGUGAGGAAUAUUGGUCAAUGGGCUUACGCCUGAACCAGCCAAGUCGCGUGAGGGAAGACUGCCCUAUGGGUUGUAAACCUCUUUUGUCAGGGAGCAACGCCGGCUACGUGUAGCCGGACUGAGAGUACCUGAAGAAAAGGCAUCGGCUAACUCCGUGCCAGCAGCCGCGGUAAUACGGAGGAUGCGAGCGUUAUCGGGAUUUAUUGGGUUUAAAGGGUGCGUAGGCGGAAUGCCAAGUCAGCGGUAAAAUCGCGGGGCUCAAUCUCGCUCCGCCGUUGAUACUGGCGUGCUUGAGUGGGCGAGAGGUAUGCAGAAUGCGUGGUGUAGCGGUGAAAUGCGUAGAUAUCACGAAGAACUCCGAUUGCGAAGGCAGCAUACCGGCACCGAACUGACGCUGAAGCGCGAAAGCGUGGGUAUCGAACAGGAUUAGAUACCCCAGUAGUC